rnacentral:rRNA from 1 species
UACGGGGGGGGCAAGCGUUGUUCGGAAUUACUGGGCGUAAAGGGCGCGUAGGCGGCCUUCUAAGUCGGACGUGAAAUCCCUCGGCUCAACCGAAGAACGUCGAUCGAUACUGCUGUUCUUGAGGGUUGCAGAGGAGACUGGAAUUCCCGGUGUAGCGGUGAAAUGUGUAGAGAUCGGGAGGAACACCGGUGGCGAAGGCGGGUCUCUGGGCAAUUCCUGACGCUGAGGCGCGAAAGCGUGGGGAGCAAACAGG